rnacentral:rRNA from 1 species
UACGGAGGGUGCAAGCGUUAAUCGGAAUUACUGGGCGUAAAGCGCACGUAGGCGGACUUGUCAGCCAGGGGUGAAAUCCCGAGGCUUAACCUCGGAACUGCCUUUGAUACUGCAAGUCUUGAGGAUGAGAGAGGUAAGUGGAACUGCGAGUGUAGAGGUGAAAUUCGUAGAUAUUCGCAAGAACACCAGUGGCGAAGGCGGCUUACUGGCUCAUUUCUGACGCUGAGGUGCGAAAGCGUGGGGAGCAAACAGG